UACGUAGGGUGCUAGCGUUAUCCGGAUUUAUUGGGCGUAAAGGGUGCGUAGGUGGCUUUUCAAGUCGGUGGUUAAAGCCUACGGCUCAACCGUAUUAAGCCUAAGAAACUGGAAGACUUGAGUGCAGGAGAGGGAAGUGGAAUUCUCAGUGUAGCGGUGAAAUGCGUAGAUAUGUGGAGGAACACCGGUGGCGAAGGCGGCCCCCUGGACAAAGACUGACGCUAAGGUGCGAAAGCGUGGGGAGCAAACAGG
rnacentral:rRNA from 1 species